AUUAUUUUCUUGUAAAAAUUGUAUUGCCAAGCCUCGUACCAGGUAUUCAAUCAAUGUAAUGGAAAAGAGAGCGUAUGAUUUUUCACUACGAUAAG
rnacentral:lncRNA from 1 species